ACUUCGCUUAGGUUGAUU
rnacentral:sRNA from 1 species